rnacentral:rRNA from 1 species
UGCAGUCGAACGGCAGCACGGGUGCUUGCACCUGGUGGCGAGUGGCGAACGGGUGAGUAAUAUAUCGGAACGUAUCCAAUAAUGGGGGAUAACUAGCCGAAAGGUUAGCUAAUACCGCAUACGCCCUGAGGGGGAAAGCUGGGGAUCGUAAGACCUAGCGUUGAUGGAGCGGCCGAUAUCUGAUUAGCUAGUUGGUGGGGGGAGAGCCUACCAAGGCGACGAUCAGUAGCUGGUCUGAGAGGACGACCAGCCACACUGGAACUGAGACACGGUCCAGACUCCUACGGGAGGCAGCAGUGGGGAAUUUUGGACAAUGGGGGCAACCCUGAUCCAGCCAUUCCGCGUGAGUGAAGAAGGCCUUCGGGUUGUAAAGCUCUUUCGCAAGGGAAGAAAACUCGAUCUCUAAUAUGGGUUGAGGCUGACGGUACCUUGAUAAGAAGCACCGGCUAACUACGUGCCAGCAGCCGCGGUAAUACGUAGGGUGCGAGCGUUAAUCGGAAUUACUGGGCGUAAAGCGUGCGCAGGCGGUUUUGAAAGUCAGAUGUGAAAUCCCCGGGCACAACCUGGGAACUGCGUUUGAAACUCCAAAGCUAGAGUAUGGGAGAGGGAGGUAGAAUUCCACGUGUAGCAGUGAAAUGCGUAGAGAUGUGGAGGAAUACCAAUGGCGAAGGCAGCCUCCUGGUCUAAUACUGACGCUCAU